rnacentral:tRNA from 1 species
AGCCCCGUAGUGUAGUGGUCAAUCAUUUCGGCCUUUGGAGCCGGCGACGCCAGUUCGAAUCUGGCCGGGGCUA